GUUGGACGAUGAAGCCAGCUCCUGAGCAAGGUUGUAAUUCUCCUCUUCGGAGGAUGUGAAAAUCACAGCAAUUUCCCUCCGUGUCUGAGUAGCAGAGGCUUUCCCUCCACAACCCUAGAUGUGGACUUGCUGCCCAGGAGACACAAACUUGCGCCAGGAAGAAAAGAAAUUGCAUGGAGUGGAAAGAGGAUGGCGAUGGUUCUGCCUGCUGUGAGUUGAGCACUGUGCACAUCAGUGGCUGUGAGCCUCCUCCUUCCACUGGACUCUUGGGGCGUCAUUGCUUAUGCCAUCUUUAUAUCACCGUGUAGGUGUUGAAGUCAGAGUCUGGGAAGUCCUGGGCCUGUGAAAUGAACAGCUGGAGGGCAAUGAAAGUCACGGGAACAGCUGACGCAACCGUAUAGCCAUCAUCAUAUAAUCAAACAAGGAUAACUUUUCUUCCACAGAUGCCUAGACCAGAGCAGCUGCCACCCUGGACUAUGUACCAUCUACUGUCUGUCUAUCCCUGGAAGUUCCUCAACCAGGCCACAGAUUUAGUUAAAUGACCUUCUACAAAAUGUCUAUGACAUAGAAGACUCUCUGCCUUGCUGGGGAGAUAGAAAUGAGAAGCAAAUACGUAUCUUGGCAGAUCUGUGCAUUCCUGGCAUCGUGCAGUGGGUGUGGUACCCAGUAGGGCCUCACUGGAUGGUGUGAGGUGUGAAUGGACGAACGUGUGAGAGCCUUCCCCCAGCUGCUGACUCUGCUGCAUUUAGAGAUCUCUGUUUCAUCAGUUUUAAAUGCAUAUUUUAAAGAAUCUGGGGAAGAUGCCCAGUCCUGAAGGUCUUUAACAAUGACAUUUGAAAUGUCUCUUGAGGGGGGUUUCAUGGGCCUGUGUCCUGUGUCAUCACAUAAGAUCCUUCCCUUAGAAUGGCCCCCAUGUAUGAUAUAAUGGUCUUUUGUCACCCUCUUGAAAUUCUUAACAGUUUCUGAAUAAAGGCUGCUCAUUGGCACUGGGCCUUGCA
rnacentral:lncRNA from 12 species